rnacentral:rRNA from 1 species
UACGUAGGGUGCAAGCGUUAAUCGGAAUUACUGGGCGUAAAGCGUGCGCAGGCGGUUUUGUAAGUCUGAUGUGAAAUCCCCGGGCUCAACCUGGGAAUUGCAUUGGAGACUGCAAGGCUAGAAUCUGGCAGAGGGGGGUAGAAUUCCACGUGUAGCAGUGAAAUGCGUAGAGAUGUGGAGGAACACCGAUGGCGAAGGCAGCCCCCUGGGUCAAGAUUGGCGCUCAUGCACGAAAGCGUGGGGAGCAAACAGG